CAAAGAGAAAAGGAAAAAAACGGAAAUGAGUUUCUGUUUUUUCCUAUUUUUCUUUUUUUUUUACCAGAAGAAAAAUGGAUGGAAGAACAUUCAUGAUCUAGUUUUAUUCAUCGAUCCCUUCUGCUUCUUCUUUAG
rnacentral:ribozyme from 1 species